UAGUAAUUGAUGAUGGUAUGUGAGUUGAGAGCGAAUGAGGGGGAGAGAAAGAAAGAAAAAUAAAAAGUUAGAAAAAAAUAGAAAGUUUGAAGAAACGAAAGAAAGGUGAAUAUUAGUGAAAUGAAAAAGUGAGAGACGAAUGAAUCGAGGAGGAAGAAUGAGGUGUCAUGUGAAUAGUGUAUAUGUGUUCGCGCGGCGAUAAAGCACAUUUCCUCAAUUCGAGCAUAUUUAUUGAGUUUUAGUUCCACAGAAUGUGCUGUGUCGCCGAAUUCAAGUUGCACAUGAAAUAAUCACGGUCAGCUGCGACCACCGUUCUUGGUACGAUGAACCGAAUGCUCUCUUCGCGAAUUUCCCGUUCUUUUCGGCUCGCGUCUCUGCAUAUACGGAGAAGUUAUUACAAGACAACAUUAAUAUAUUUAUUAUUCAAUAUAACUUUAUUAUUCUUAGUUGGAAUUCUUACGAAAAUAUCGAGAAAAUAAUUUAUGAGAUUCAUUGAGCUACAGUUCAUCGUGAUCAGAUAGCGGAUUCGUGACUAAUCUUCCAAAUAGUGAUACAUUCCAUAGAUAAAGAAGAAAUUGAAUAGAAGUUCACAGUUCGUCUAAUCAAAACUAUUGUUUCUAAAAGAAAGAAAGAGAGGUCGGAAUAAAAACGAAAUUAACGAGGAAACAUCGAGAUAAGAUAGACGCGCGAGAAUUCAAGAACACCGAGUGAAUAUAAUCAACACACCCGGUAGAACUAGAGAAAAAAAAUAGUAACGAAAGGAAAGUAAAAAUAAUGAAAAGUAAAAUAAUCCUCGACCGUUCACCAAGAAAUGCGCACGAAUACCUUCCGAUCGGAGUUUCGCUCGUUACUCAUAGUUAUACUCGACGCUCCAAAAGAGAUCAUAUUUCCGAUCUUGAGUGUACCAUAUGUCGAGUGUUCCAUAUGUCACGAAAAUUAGUAACAAAAAUAAAAUAUGAGUCGUUUUUUUAAAGUAAAGAAAUACAGUAAAGUAAAGAAGUAAAAAAAAAAAAAAAAAAAAAAAAAAUAAGAUAAAAAAAAAAUAAUAAUAAAAAAAUAAAAAAAGAAAGAAGAGAAAUUCCUUAAAUCGAUCGGAAUGAUGUUAUUAUUGUCUUGUAAAAUAUUGGGGCCACGAAACAUAAUCUAAAAAAUGAAAAAACGACAUAAAAAAAGAAACAAAAAAAAGGGAAGAAAGAAUAAUAAUUUAAAAAAGGAGGGAACGAAGAAGACAGAUGCUCUGAUCGUAUUACGUUGAUUUAACAAGAACGUAUAAUGUAAAUCGAGAGAAUCAAGUAUGGUGAUGAGAUGAUAAGAUAUCAAUCGCCACAGUGAUUGUUCUGUUCUCUUUUGUUUUUUUUUUUUUUUUUUUUUUUUUAUAAUUCUUAAUAGAAUUAUAGCAUACAUAUGUUUUUUUAUGAACGAACGAAAGUGAAAGAGAAAAAAAUUGCGAGAAAGGAAGUGUGAGCGAAAUUGAGAAAUUGAAAUAGAAUCAAGCACGAGAAACAGAAACGAGAUAAUUUGUUGUAAGAAAGAGAGAGAGAGAGAGAGAGAGAGAGAGAGAAAGAGAGAGAGAGAGAGAGAGAGAGAGAGAGAGAGUGAGUGAAAGAAUGAGAGAGAGAAAAAGAGAGCAUUAGGGACCAACCAAAAAGAGAGAAAAAAUGGCGUGCAAUGGUGUCGAUUGUCGCGGUGGAUCGUUUUUUCUUUUUAUAUGCACAUUAAAACAAGAAAAAGAACAAUGGAGAAAGUGAGACAUCAGUGCCUCGACUUAUUUCGCGACCGAAUAUCGAACUAAUAAGUUAACCUGUAUCAUCUUUACAAGGACAUCAUGCGAUGUGUAUGAAACAUGUCGUUUUCGGUUCUCGCGAACACUCGAUCUUCCAUGUUUUUAAAAAAAAAAGAGAAAUGGGUAUAAAAAUUGAAAAAUUAAUAACAAUCAUGCUGUUUCUUUCUUGCACAGUCAAUGAUGGUUAAAUGAUAUUCAGCCGAAAAAAAUAUAAAAAAAAA